rnacentral:rRNA from 1 species
UGGGGAAUUUUGGACAAUGGGCGAAAGCCUGAUCCAGCAAUGCCGCGUGCAGGAUGAAGGCCUUCGGGUUGUAAACUGCUUUUGUACGGAACGAAAAAGCUUCUCCUAAUACGAGACGCCCAUUACGGUACCGUAAGAAUAAGCACCGGCUAACUACGUGCCAGCAGCCGCGGUAAUACGUAGGGUGCGAGCGCUAAUCGGAAUUACUGGGCGUAUAGCGUGCGCAGGCGGUUAUGUAUGACAGAUGUGAAAUCCCCGGGCUCAACCUGGGAACUGCAUUUGAGACUGCAAGGCUAGAGUACGGUAGAGGGGGAUGGAAUUCCGCGUGUAGCAGUGAAAUGCGUAGGUAUGCGGAGGAAAACCGAUGGCGAAGGCAAUCCCCUGGACCUGUACUGACGCUCAUGGACGAAAGCGUGGGGAGCAAACA